rnacentral:rRNA from 1 species
GAUGAACGCUGGCGGCGUGCCUAAUACAUGCAAGUCGAGCGAACAGAUGAGGAGCUUGCUCCUCUGACGUUAGCGGCGGACGGGUGAGUAACACGUGGAUAACCUACCUAUAAGACUGGGAUAACUUCGGGAAACCGGAGCUAAUACCGGAUAAUAUAUUGAACCGCAUGGUUCAAUAGUGAAAGACGGUUUUGCUGUCACUUAUAGAUGGAUCCGCGCCGCAUUAGCUAGUUGGUAAGGUAACGGCUUACCAAGGCGACGAUGCGUAGCCGACCUGAGAGGGUGAUCGGCCACACUGGAACUGAGACACGGUCCAGACUCCUACGGGAGGCAGCAGUAGGGAAUCUUCCGCAAUGGGCGAAAGCCUGACGGAGCAACGCCGCGUGAGUGAUGAAGGUCUUCGGAUCGUAAAACUCUUUUAUUAGGGAAGAACAAAUGUGUAAGUAACUAUGCACGUCUUGACGGUACCUAAUCAGAAAGCCACGGCUAACUACGUG